rnacentral:rRNA from 1 species
GAUGAACGCUAGCUACAGGCUUAACACAUGCAAGUCGAGGGGAAACGACAUCGAAAGCUUGCUUUUGAUGGGCGUCGACCGGCGCACGGGUGAGUAACGCGUAUCCAACCUGCCCAUCACUUGGGAAUAACCUUGCGAAAGUAAGACUAAUACCCAAUGAUAUCCCACGAAGGCAUCGGAAUGGGAUUAAAGAUUUAUCGGUGAUGGAUGGGGAUGCGUCUGAUUAGCUUGUUGGCGGGGUAACGGCCCACCAAGGCAACGAUCAGUAGGGGUUCUGAGAGGAAGGUCCCACACAUUGGAACUGAGACACGGUCCAAACUCCUACGGGAGGCAGCAGUGAGGAAUAUUGGCCAAUGGGCGAGAGCCUGAACCAGCCAAGUAGCGUGCAGGAAGACGGCCCUAUGGGUUGUAAACUGCUUUUAUAAGGGAAUAAAGUGGGUCACGUGUGACUUUUUGCAUGUACCUUAUGAAUAAGGACCGGCUAAUUCCGUG